rnacentral:rRNA from 1 species
AGAGUUUGAUCAUGGCUCAGAGCGAACGCUGGCGGCAGGCUUAACACAUGCAAGUCGAGCGGGCGUAGCAAUACGUCAGCGGCAGACGGGUGAGUAACGCGUGGGAACGUACCUUUUGGUUCGGAACAACACAGGGAAACUUGUGCUAAUACCGGAUAAGCCCUUACGGGGAAAGAUUUAUCGCCGAAAGAUCGGCCCGCGUCUGAUUAGCUAGUUGGUGUGGUAACGGCGCACCAAGGCGACGAUCAGUAGCUGGUCUGAGAGGAUGAUCAGCCACAUUGGGACUGAGACACGGCCCAAACUCCUACGGGAGGCAGCAGUGGGGAAUAUUGGACAAUGGGCGCAAGCCUGAUCCAGCCAUGCCGCGUGAGUGAUGAAGGCCCUAGGGUUGUAAAGCUCUUUUGUGCGGGAAGAUAAUGACGGUACCGCAAGAAUAAGCCCCGGCUAACUUCGUGCCAGCAGCCGCGGUAAUACGAAGGGGGCUAGCGUUGCUCGGAAUCACUGGGCGUAAAGGGUGCGUAGGCGGGUCUUUAAGUCAGGGGUGAAAUCCUGGAGCUCAACUCCAGAACUGCCUUUGAUACUGAGGAUCUUGAGUUCGGGAGAGGUGAGUGGAACUGCGAGUGUAGAGGUGAAAUUCGUAGAUAUUCGCAAGAACACCAGUGGCGAAGGCGGCUCACUGGCCCGAUACUGACGCUGAGGCACGAAAGCGUGGGGAGCAAACAGGAUUAGAUACCCCCGUAGUCC